UACAGAGGUCCCAAGCGUUGUUCGGAUUCAUUGGGCGUAAAGGGUGCGUAGGCGGCGCGGUAAGUCGGGUGUGAAAUCUCGGGGCUUAACUCCGAAACUGCAUUCGAUACUGCCGUGCUUGAGGACUGGAGAGAGACUGGAAUUUACGGUGUAGCGGUGAAAUGCGUAGAUAUCGUAAGGAAGACCAGUGGCGAAGGCGGGUCUCUGGACAGUUCCUGACGCUGAGGUACGAAGGCCAGGGGAGCAAACGGG
rnacentral:rRNA from 1 species